GAAUGUGAGGGCAAUCUGGCAGCAACAUCUGUCACCCCAUUGAUCGCCAGGGUUGAUUUAGCUGAUCUGGCCUUCCAGGCAGGUGUCCCCUUCAUUCCUCACCACUCCAUGUGCAUUACUCCUGAAGUUGCAUGCUUGGUCAGAGAGGAAGAUCACCCCCAACAGAGCAGGACCAUUUCCUUGGUCAAGGCAUACAAGUAGCUGUGUUCCCCUGCUAGAACCUCCAAACAAGUUCUCAAGAAAGUCAUGCCCACCAAACCAGCACUCCAAAACAUUCCCAAAGAUAACCUGGAAAGAGACAAUGAAGCCAAUAAUACC
rfam:Cavia porcellus supercont2_26 genomic scaffold, whole genome shotgun sequence.